GAUGAAGAACGUAGCGAAAUGCGAUACUUGGUGUGAAUUGCAGAAUCCCGUGAACCAUCGAGUCUUUGAACGCAAGUUGCGCCCGAAGCCAUUAGGCCGAGGGCACGCCUGCCUGGGUGUCACACGUCGUUGCCCCCCCAUCUACUCCUUCGGGAUUGCGGGGGGCGGAUGAUGGCCUCCCGUGCGCCUCGUCGCGCGGUUGGCAUAAAUGCCAAGUCCUCGGCGACGCACGCCACGACAAUCGGUGGUUGCGAAACCUCGGUUGCCCGUCGUGUGCGGUCGUCGCGCAUCAAGGGCUCGAAAAAAUUGCCGGGCUCCGGCUCGGCUUUCAACGCGACCCCAGGUCAGGCGGGGUUACCCGCUGAAUUUAAGCAUAUCAAUAAGCGGAGGA
rnacentral:misc_RNA from 1 species